UACGUAGGGGGCUAGCGUUGUCCGGAUUUAUUGGGCGUAAAGAGCGUGUAGGCGGCCAGGUAGGUCUGGUGUGAAAACUCGAGGCUUAACCUCGAGAUGUCAUCGGAAACCAUUUGGCUAGAGUCCGGAAGAGGAGAGUGGAAUUCCUGGUGUAGCGGUGAAAUGCGCAGAUAUCAGGAAGAACACCAAUGGCGAAAGCAGCUCUCUGGGACGGUACUGACGCUGAGGCACGAAAGCGUGGGGAUCAAACAGG
rnacentral:rRNA from 1 species